rnacentral:rRNA from 1 species
ACACAUGCAGUCGAACGGUGACANNNNGAGCUUGCUCUGGUUGAUCAGUGGCGAACGGGUGAGUAACACGUGAGUAACCUGCCCUUGACUCUGGGAUAACUCCGGGAAACCGGGGCUAAUACCGGAUACGAGACGCGACCGCAUGGUCGGCGUCUGGAAAGUUUUUCGGUCAAGGAUGGACUCGCGGCCUAUCAGCUUGUUGGUGAGGUAAUGGCUCACCAAGGCGUCGACGGGUAGCCGGCCUGAGAGGGCGACCGGCCACACUGGGACUGAGACACGGCCCAGACUCCUACGGGAGGCAGCAGUGGGGAAUAUUGCACAAUGGGCGNAAGCCUGAUGCAGCGACGCCGCGUGAGGGAUGAAGGCCUUCGGGUUGUAAACCUCUUUCAGUAGGGAAGAAGCGAAAGUGACGGUACCUGCAGAAGAAGCGCCGGCUAACUACGUGCCAGCAGCCGCGGUAAUACGUAGGGCGCAAGCGUUGUCCGGAAUUAUUGGGCGUAAAGAGCUCGUAGGCGGUUUGUCGCGUCUGGUGUGAAAACUCAAGGCUCAACCUUGAGCUUGCAUCGGGUACGGGCAGACUAGAGUGUGGUAGGGGUGACUGGAAUUCCUGGUGUAGCGGUGGAAUGCGCAGAUAUCAGGAGGAACACCGAUGGCGAAGGCAGGUCACUGGGCCACUACUGACGCUGAGGAGCGAAAGCAUGGGGAGCGAACAGGAUUAGAUACCCUGGUAGUCCAUGCCGUAAACGUUGGGCACUAGGUGUGGGGCUCAUUCCACGAGUUCCGCGCCGCA